rnacentral:rRNA from 1 species
GUGUCAGCCGCCGCGGUAAGACAGAGGGUGCAAACGUUGUUCGGAAUUACUGGGCGUAAAGCGCGUGUAGGCGGCAUGGCAAGUCGGGUGUGAAAGCCCACGGCUCAACCGUGGAAGUGCAUUCGAAACUGCUGAGCUAGAGUUCUGGAGAGGAAGGCGGAAUACUCGGUGUAGAGGUGAAAUUCGUAGAUAUCGAGUGGAACACCGGUGGCGAAGGCGGCCUUCUGGACAGUGACUGACGCUGAGACGCGAAAGCGUGGGGAGCAAACAGGAUUAGAUACCCUUGUAGUCC